rnacentral:rRNA from 1 species
GACGAACGCUGGCGGCGUGCUUAACACAUGCAAGUCGAACGGAAAGGCCCUGCUUUUGUGGGGUGCUCGAGUGGCGAACGGGUGAGUAACACGUGAGUAACCUGCCCUUGACUUUGGGAUAACUUCAGGAAACUGGGGCUAAUACCGGAUAGGAGCUCCUGCUGCAUGGUGGGGGUUGGAAAGUUUCGGCGGUUGGGGAUGGACUCGCGGCUUAUCAGCUUGUUGGUGGGGUAGUGGCUUACCAAGGCUUUGACGGGUAGCCGGCCUGAGAGGGUGACCGGCCACAUUGGGACUGAGAUACGGCCCAGACUCCUACGGGAGGCAGCAGUGGGGAAUAUUGCACAAUGGGCGGAAGCCUGAUGCAGCAACGCCGCGUGCGGGAUGACGGCCUUCGGGUUGUAAACCGCUUUCGCCUGUGACGAAGCGUGAGUGACGGUAAUGGGUAAAGAAGCACCGGCUAACUACGUGCCAGCAGCCGCGGUGAUACGUACGGUGCGAGCGUUGUCCGGAUUUAUUGGGCGUAAAGGGCUCGUAGGUGGUUGAUCGCGUCGGAAGUGUAAUCUUGGGGCUUAACCCUGAGCGUGCUUUCGAUACGGGUUGACUUGAGGAAGGUAGGGGAGAAUGGAAUUCCUGGUGGAGCGGUGGAAUGCGCAGAUAUCAGGAGGAACACCAGUGGCGAAGGCGGUUCUCUGGGCCUUUCCUGACGCUGAGGAGCGAAAGCGUGGGGAGCGAACAGGCUUAGAUACCCUGGUAGUCCACGCUGUAAACGGUGGGUACUAGGUGUGGGGUCCAUUCCACGGGUUCCGUGCCGUAGCUAACGCUUUAAGUACCCCGCCUGGGGAGUACGGCCGCAAGGCUAAAACUCAAAGGAAUUGACAGGGCCCCGCACAAGCGGCGGAGCAUGCGGAUUAAUUCGAUGCAACGCGUAGAACCUUACCUGGGUUUGACAUGGAUCGGGAGUGCUCAGAGAUGGGUGUGCCUCUUUUGGGGUCGGUUCACAGGUGGUGCAUGGCUGUCGUCAGCUCGUGUCGUGAGAUGUUGGGUUAAGUCCCGCAACGAGCGCAACCCUUGUUCACUGUUGCCAGCACGUUAUGGUGGGGACUCAGUGGAGACCGCCGGGGUCAACUCGGAGGAAGGUGGGGAUGACGUCAAGUCAUCAUGCCCCUUAUGUCCAGGGCUUCACGCAUGCUACAAUGGCUGGUACAGAGAGUGGCGAGCCUGUGAGGGUGAGCGAAUCUCGGAAAGCCGGUCUCAGUUCGGAUUGGGGUCUGCAACUCGACCUCAUGAAGUCGGAGUCGCUAGUAAUCGCAGAUCAGCAACGCUGCGGUGAAUACGUUCCCGGG